CCUACGGGUGGCAGCAGUGAGGAAUAUUGGUCAAUGGGCUUACGCCUGAACCAGCAAAGUCGCGUGAGGGAAGACUGCCCUAUGGGUUGUAAACCUCUUUUGUCAGGGAGCAAUUGGCGCUUCGUGUAGCGUUAUCGAGAGUAUCUGAAGAAAAAGCAUGGGCUAACUCCGUGCCAGCAGCCGCGGUAAUACGGAGGAUGCGAGCGUUAUCCGGAUUUAGUGGGCUUAAAGGGUGCGUAGGCGGAAUGCCAAGUCAGAGGUAAAAUCGCGGGGCUCAACCUCGCUCCGCGGUUGACACUGGCGUUCUUGAGGGGGCGAGAGGUAUGCGGAAUGCGGGGUGUAGCGGUGAAAUGCAUAGAUA
rnacentral:rRNA from 1 species